AUCAAGACCGGAAGCACAGAACUUAUG
rnacentral:piRNA from 1 species